rnacentral:rRNA from 1 species
AGAGGGUGCAAACGUUGUUCGGAAUUACUGGGCGUAAAGCGCGUGUAGGUGGCAAGGUAAGUCGGGUGUGAAAGCCCUGGGCUCAACCCAGGAAGUGCAUUCGAUACUACCUCGCUAGAGUCCCGGAGAGGUUGGUGGAACUCUCGGUGUAGAGGUGAAAUUCGUAGAUAUCGAGAAGAACACCGGUGGCGAAGGCGGCCAACUGGACGGUGACUGACACUGAGACGCGAAAGCGUGGGGAGCAAACAGGAUUAGAUACCCUGGUAGUCCACGCCGUAAACGAUGGGUGCUAGGUGUCACGGGUAUUGACCCCUGUGGCGCCGUAGCUAACGCAUUAAGCACCCCGCCUGGGAAGUACGGCCGCAAGGCUA